rnacentral:sRNA from 1 species
UGUGAUCUCUUUGCAUGCCAUUCUGGGAGUGUUUACCCAUUUAUAAAUUUCUUAGGAAAUUAUAAUUUUCUAUUCAUUUUUUGAUAAUCCUAACCUUGGUCAAAUUCCAUGGAUUGCUUUUCUUCAUCUAACAAGUUAUAUUUUCCUGCUUCGUCUCUCAAUUUAUGUAGACAUCACAGUAUUCAUGGGACUGACCAGAGAGUCCUAGGAAUUCCAGCUUCUCUAGUCCAACCCACCAUUCUACUUUUCAAGUUACAACUGAAUAUCGACAACCCUGGAUUUGACCUGAGUGCUGAAGUUCUACAUUCUUGUCCUUAUGUUUAUGCAACAAGAUGUCACUCACUGAACCAUCUUUCCUAACUCAUUCCUUGAAGAUAUUUUGACAGAAAAGCAAUUGUUAUGUGCCAAUGCCAGGGGACAAAUGAUUUUUAUAACUCCACCUUAUAUGAGGAGCACCACUCCUCACAAUGCCUAUCAUGCUAAUGUUUGACAAUACUCCAUGCACACAGAAUGCUGACCAAAUUUCUGCUACUCUUAUUUGAAAAGUGCACUAACAUGUGUUUGAUGUGAUCAUAUUUGCUUUUAGCACAUAACCUAAUGAGGGUAGGAGUUAUAAAAUCUUGUAUAUAAUUUUCCUAGUCUUAACUUUAAGUUUAAUGCCUGGAACAUGGCAGCUGAACCUGAAUGAGUACAACUUGAUCAAUGUGAAUGAAUUUAUCUUAAUCCAGACUUAGAGAGAAGAAAACAUGAAAAUUUUACAAGUCAAAUAACAGUAUGAAGUUCAGAGCUCAAGAGUAUUCUCCUUAAUGAUGUAUUAUCUUUCUGAUACUUCCAAUGGGUUGAAAUAAUUAAGACAUAUAAAUAGAGCAAAUCAGAAUCUCUUAUUGAAGUGGUCAUGUUUUCUGGAAGAUGUUGGCUAAAAUAUGGAAAAAUAUGCUAAAUAGUGUUGAUCAUUUAGGCCUAUAUUAUUCCAAAAAACAAUGGCUUGGGAAUACCUUUGUCAGGACCUAUUAAAGACUCCACAAUAACACAGA